GUAACAAAUCUCCUAACAGAUUCUCUAACCACCAUAGGUGUAGUUAGUAAAGCAGUUGAGGUGCAUGGUAAACUUGAACUGAUAGAACUCUUCUUGAACUGAUUGAGCUGAGGAAGAGAUAGACGACUAAACUGAGGACUGAACUGAGUAGGUGCAGGUUUUGAGCUAGGUGCAAGUUCUGAGCUGGAGCUGAGCUGAGUAGAUUUGGCCUCCCUCUCUCCAUCAAUGAACUCAUCGACGACAGUGGAGGGCUUCCAGCGUCGGCCUUCUAACGUCCCUUCUGUAUAUCGACUGAGUAGCUUUGUUUACCCAAACACAUUAGCUGCCCUAGAUUCCCAAAUCUCCUCCAUUGACAACCAAGAAAAAAUUGCUUUUGUAUGGGCUAUUGUGGAUAUUUAUUUUUGUGUACGAAGAGCAUUUGUUCUGUAUUAUUUUUCUACAACCCUCUGUUUUGGAAAUUCAAUGUUUUUGUGUGUAAUAUUUAAUUUAGAUGGAUUAUACUUGGUUGGUGUGGAUUUAUAUGAUAUUUGGAAUAUG